GGCUCUGCGCGGCUGCACCCCCGCCUCCCCUCGGGGCCCGAGAUGCGCCCUCCCUGGCUGCCCCCCGGCGCUGCACCUGGAGCCCAGGGCCUGGGGGGCGGUGGGGGGUGGCGGGGAGAACCGGGAGAACCAGGGCGCCCCGCUCCUGGCCUGCUCGCGGGGCUCGAUUUUGGAGUCUGAAGCCCAGACCAGCCGGCCGGGCUCGAGAGAGACCCUUAGAAUGCUGGGGACUCAGCCCACCCUCAGGCUGGGUGCCUGGGGACCUUCUGCCCCCAGCUCUUGUGUUUCUGGUGGCUGGGACCGGGGGAUGGAGCUGAUGCUGGGCCCAGAUGGUGGUGGGGGUUCUUUUCUCUGGAAGCCCCUGGCCCAUCUGGAUCUGAGGAGUGGGGGAGGGGAAAACAAAACACCACCUCUCAAAUUAAAACAAACAAACAAACAAAAAAACCCAACACAACAAAACCUCGAAACCCCAAACCCAAAGAAUUUCCAGAAGCCAGUUCCUCUCUCUGGUUUACCCGUCCUUUAUUCUCUUUCCUGCCAGGGCUGGCAGGCAGAACCAAGUGCUUCCCUUUCUGAAAAUCUCAUUCGCACAUUGGGAGGUUGGAAGUGGAGGGGGAGGGGGCAGUAGUCCUGGAAUAUCUCAGGACUCAGCUGUGGUCGAGCUCUGGCUUGGGAGCUGCUUGGUCGAGCCCCGGUCCGGCAUUGUCUGUAGAGUGUGUGUAUACGUGUGUGUUUUGUUGCUGGAGAUUUAAUUUUGUUAUUGUUUUUAAAGAUGUGGCUAGGACUGGGUCAGCUGGAUGGGUCGGAGAGGAGAAACCAUUGAUCUUUUCUGAAAUCAGAUCUGCAAAUGGUGGCCUUCUUCUUACGUGGAGAAAGACAGCUGUGGUGGGGUCAGGGGGAGAGUGGGGGUAGCGGGUAGGAGCCUGAACAGGAUGCUUUGUGUUUUGAAACAAGGACAGUUUGAAAUACAGGCUGUGGUUUGGGCCUGAGCCUUGCAGUGGGGGUCCCAUCCUCUUUGGAGGGGUGGCUUGUCCUCCCUAGAAUGCACACUCCCCCUUGGGGCCACCGUGAUCCUGUUUACUAAGCACAGUGGGAGGGGGCCGAAUCCACUGCCUGCCCACACCUGUGCCAAGAAAACCCAGCCAGGAAACAGGGUGUCGCUUACAUGGCAUGUCACAAACGUGUAGCGUGUGUAGACAUUUCCCCGGCAUCCAUGUUCCCUUGGCGGUGUGUCACAGGCCAUGACACAUGUCCCAAGGAAUGGGGAGGGGGGAAAAGUUAGCCGAAGAAUCCUGCUCCUGGAAUCAACCCCCACUCCCCACCUCAGAGCAUUGCAGCGCUUGAGGACUUUUAUUCUGAAUUUGGGGUCCGACAUGCUUAGAGCACCUAUUUUAUGUUUCCUGUGGGCACGUUGGUGCAAUAUCUGCAAAGACUCCUUUCUCAGGGAGAAUUGCUGGUCGUCGGAGGCGGUCCAGUCCCCAGUCAGGCUGGUGCAUGUUCUCAAGCUUGUCCCACACCACAGGCCUCAGCAUUGGGCUUUCCAAUGGAUGGAGGGAGAGCCUGCCUUCCAAAAUUUGCCAGUACAGAUUAUUUCUGAUAUGGGGAGGAACUGGUGACCAUGGAAUCCUCUGCCUGGGAUCUGGAGACCUCAGAUCUGGCUUCAGAAUUUUCACCUGGCUCAGGGGGAUUUUUUUUUUUCUCUUCCACCCCACAAAAUGAAGAGGAGUUGAGCGGGGAGGAAAAUGGUUAGAAGAAGGGACAGUGACCUGCCAUGGGAAGGCCAGGCUGAGGCCCUGCUUUCCCUGGAAGAAGCCAAGAGUGAGUGUCCCGCUGUCACUGUCCUCAGUUUGCGAGGCUAAUGGCUCCCCACUUACCUCCGAUUGCUCAAGAGGUAUGUCUCAGAAAGAGAGGAAAGGAAGAAAGACCGGAAUAGCCAGAGGCCCCUAGCUCACCUUGGCCAGCCCAGGUGGGUGUCACCUGUGGUAGCAUGGAUCUCUCUGGAGAGCACCUGUCUGGUGCUGGGGACUGAGGCUUACCCAUGGAGCAAGAUUCCUCUUAGCAGAACCAUGCUCUGGCUUUAGGAAAUGUGGCAACAGGAGCUACCAGGAAGUGUCCGAUGGGCUGGCUUAAUCCCCUUUCUGUUGCCUUUCAUCACCAAGCCCUGCAGGCAAGGGGUGUCCUUAAGUCUUGCCCUUGCCCCCUGGUGGGCUCCAGAGGGCCUUGCCCCAGGGCCUGUGAGUGUGGAGGUGGGGCCUGUGAGUGUGAGGGCUGGCCUGGCUGGAGCGCUGGCCUCCAGGGCAGAGUUGAGAUUGGGACUGCCACCUGGGCCCUUGUCCCAUCAUGAGACACCUGGUUGGUGUCCAGGCUCUUGGGGAAGCAGAGGCGCCCCUGUGGGGUUUCCCUGAGGCCUGGGCAUUAUGUAAUCUGUCUGCGUUUUAUAGUGCGGCCCAAGCACUCUAUUGAGAAAUAUGAGUCCAAAUGAAACAAAGGUGAAUUCGAGUGCGGUUCCCUACAACAAAAAUCCUUUGCAGUCCUGUGGCUUUGCAGCAGCCCCUGGCCCAGCCCUGAGCUGCCGGUAUACCAAGUAUGUUUCCUGUAGAGUCAUACCCUACUUAAAAUAUCAAUCAUUCGUAUUUUAAGCUGUCUACACAGCCUAACUCAGAAUCAUCUGGUAAAUAUCUGGUUAAUUGCAUGGGCUUCAGAAACAAGACCCAGAGUGAUUGAUAUGGAGUCAAACCAAUAAACAAACCAAAUACUCUUUUUUGCCCAAACCUUCUGCAGUCUGUCUCCAUUGAUCCAAUUAAAUGAAUCGUGAGAGAUUUAAGACCAGACUUGUAGGAGCACAGCUGCAUCAGGCUGGGAUGCAAGCGUACUGGAGCUCCCAGUCCCAGCUGGUGGGUGACACAGCUAGGUAGACCUUUUAGUCUGGGGUCCGGGGACCUGACACCCCUCCAGGUUGUCUUAAGGGAGGAGCCACCAGCUUCACCCAGCUGGCCUGCCUGUUAACUUUGCCUCCUGUGGGAUCAGGUCAGAGCUUGCCCUGCCCUGGUCUCCUGGGCCAGUUACUGAUUAAAUCCUUGCUGAGCGAACAGCGUGCCUAACGUCGCUUGUGAUGGCUGCCAGGUCUGAUGAACCUGUGCUGGGAGACUUUGGAUCUGAAACGCUCAUAAACAAAGGAGGAAGCAGACAGGCAACAGCUGACUUGGGAGGGGGAUGGGGAGGCCAGGGCCCCCUCCCUGGGUGGCCCAGGACAGCACUUUUGUGGGGAAGGGCCCGUCUGCCCAGGCUGUGGCCUGAAUGUGGUGCCCCAUUCUCUCUUCGUACUCAAACUUGUCAGUCUCUGGGCCUCACUGGCUCUUCAUGGCUGGUGAUGGUGUUGUCAGUUGUAAAUGACAGCCAGGGCAGCCAGGGGUUCUGCAUAAGUGGCUGGGUUCAGCAGGACAAGAAUCCAUUUUGCUGUUCUUGUCUCUGGGUUGAAUUUGAUCACCUGCUAGACAUGUAUGUCUGUGGGCAGAGGGCUUUGUCUGUAGGCUUUGUUUCUUCUGCACCAGAGAAGUACAAAUAAGCUGCUUACCUUUUAUUUCAUCUUACUUUUAAGACAUUGUGACACACGGUAUUUCAGAAUGGUGGAUCCAGGCAGAGAGUUCUUUAUUGAUUUACCAAACAGGGGUUGGGGCCUAGGUGACAGUAGUGUUCUUUAUUCCGAAGCCAUAACUCAUCAGUGGCUCCUUUUUAAAUUGUCACCAUUCCGCUGUUUGAUUGAAAUGCUUCCGGGCAUCUUGUUAUGGAUGAGAAAGGAGAAGCCACCUUCAUUCUCAUUGCUUUCUUUAGUCUGGUGUUUCCUUGGUGGGGAGCAGCCGUUGUCUGAACUCGCACUUUGUUUAGCCCAUGCUUAUUGCACACCUACUGUGCGUCACUUGCUUAGCAAAGAGUUACACAUCUAGAUGGCUUGGUUUCUACUUGAAAAUUAAAAUCCGUGUCUUCCAGGAUAGUCACAAAUCCCAUGAGAACUCAUCUGUGUGCGCAUGCACACAUGUUAAUUGCUUUUUCACUUUUGUCACUUAUGCCCCCUUCCCCCCAUGUGCCCAGCCUGCCUUUAGUUUAUUUUUUAAUUUUAUUUUAUUUUUGAAUAGAGACAGGGUUUCACCAUGUUGGCUAGGCUAGUCUCGAACUCCUGACCUCAGGUGAUCUACCUGCCUCGGCCUCCCAAAGUGCUGGGAUUACAGGAGUGAGCCACCGUGCCCAGCCGCCUUUAAUUUAUUUAAUGUUUUUUUGCGGCAGUAAACACGGAGAUUUUUUCCCCCCUUUUCAUGCCUUUUGUCAUAGGAGGAUUUUGGAGUGUAUCAAAAUUGUUUCCUAGACAACUUGUUUGAUGUGAGGUGGUGGAGGGGAGGGGCUGAGACAGAGAGGAGAAAAAGUCAAAAUUCUCUGUAAACCACAAAUGUGGUCUGCCUUCCUCAGGCUGUAGUAAGUAAGUGCAUUUUAAGGAGGGAGUAAGUUUUGAUGCUGCCAUUUGCCUGGUGUAAUCUGAGAUGCCUGUUCUGGCCGUGGCAACAUUGUGCCAGUCCAGGUAGAAGGAAUUUCACUGCAUGUGGCUGAGCUUUCCUGCAAGCAGGUGACAGAGGUGUCAGCUGCUGCUGGCUUGGGCUCCUGGGCCCACAGGUUGCUGGUAUAAUGGCCCUGCCUACUCCUCAGUUUCUCAUCUGGCAGUGAGAGAGGGCAUUUCUGGGGUACUGUCCUGGGCAGGGCGCAGGGGGACUUGGUAGAAGACAAAGCUGUCCAAGGUCACCUCAACUGCUGCCAGCGAGGGCUGACUUGUCUUGAGAAUACCCACCCGAUUGGUGUUUUGUUGGCAUGGACAUUGCAGGGGGGUCAGCUUACACCUUUGAUUAAAGGAAUACCUGAGAUUAAGUGAGGCUUCCUGGCAUAGGGCAUCUCCGCUGUAGGGCCAAACAAACUUGGGCUUUGUGGUCUCGUGGCUCUGCAUCUGGGUUCGGAGGGUGCCGUUUCCUGGCUGUGUGACUUUUGGCGCUCUUUUUUCCCUUGCUGGACCUUCUUUUUUUCUCCAUCCUUAGGGAGGAGCACCUCAUGUCUAGGGUUGCUGUAAGGAUUGCAGAGGAUGGAUAAGCACCUUCUAGUGUAGUCCACAUACAGUGACCAGGAUUCCAAUUCCUGUUUUGCUGAUUGCCCUGAAAGAGCUUCAUGACAUUCUGUACAAAUGGAAGGGAUUAUUGUUGCCUAAAAAUGGGUGGUCUCCAGAGAGUUCCCAGAGAUGAACAGUGCGUUGGGGAAAGUUAGGGGUAUUUAGCAGGUCUCAUUGGUAUAAGGCAGUGAAAUUGUUGCAAGCAGUUUAAGAAAAUUCCUUGGGGGGGCGUAGUCUAGUUUCUUAAAAAGACGUUAAAAAAAUUGAAAAACUCAUAUAUGCAUCAAGUCGAUUUGAUUAGUACAACAAGGCAUGUAAUGGAAAAUGAAGCUUCUCUUACUCAAGGCCCACACAGCCCCCAGUGGCCCUCCUUGGAGGCCAGGCUGCUGCUCAUUUCUGGACAUGUACACACAGCGGUCCAUCAUGGUUCUUCACUGGACGGAAUGUUUUGGAGACCCUUCAUGGGUGUGCAGCUGCCUUGCUCUCUUUCACCGUGGCAUAGUGUUCUGUUAGAGUGAUGUACCUACGGUAAUGAGGGUAGACCCUCCCAUAUUGUUGGGCAUUGAGGUUACUCCCAGACUCUUUAAUAUGGUUUGGAUGUGUCCCCACUUAAAUCUCAUCUUGAAUUGUAGCUCCCAUAAUUCCCUUAUGUUGUGGGAGGGACCUGGUGGGAGAUAAUUGAACUGUGGGGGCGGUUUCCCCCAUACCAUUCUCAUGGUAGUAAGUCUCACCAGAUCUGAUGGUUUUAUAAAAGGAAACCCCUUUCACCUAGCUCUCUCAUUCUCUUGUCUGCCACCAUGGGAGACGUGCUUUUCACCUUCUACCGUGAUCUUGACGCCUCCCCAGCCACGUAGAACUGUGAGUCCAUUAAACCUCUUUCUUUUGUAGAUUGCCCAGUCUCGGGUAUGUCUUUAUCAGUCCAAAUGGACUGAUGCAGUCUCGUUCCUUCAGAGAAGACAUUUGCUAUUUUUAUGCAGUGGAGUCGUCUCUAUUUUGAUAGUUUGCAUGUUCUUUUGCCUACUUCUUUGGGAGUGGGGAGCCGAGCCUCUUCUUGAAGAGGGAAGGGCAGUGUUGACUGGAGUUAUUGCUACCAGGAGUCAUGCUUUGGUCUGGCUAAAGGUCACCAACCAGGGAUCCCCCUCAAAGGGUCUGGCCACUUGGUUUCCCCUGGAGCUGAAGGAACGCAGCUGACCAGGGGGCUCUGACAAGGACACGCUGACCUCCACCCCCAGGACAAGGGUCUGCACAGCUCCACCUGAGGGCAUCGUUUUCUGUUCCCCAACUUUCAGCUUUCCCCAGGAUGGAAGCCAGGCCACCCAGCCCCAUGGUAGAGAAAGAGGAAGUGAGAAUUUCUCUUCCUUGCCCCUGGGUCUGGUGAUGAGCCACCCAGUGUAUUCAACAGGCAUCAAGGGAGACUGUGUGCGUUUUGAAAGGAAGCUUCGCUUACAUCAGCAGAGUCCUAACCGAUGUGCAUGUGGGGGAGGUGUUUGGUGUGUGUAUUGAGGCAAGAGAUGGCAGAGAAAAUACUUCUGGUGCUGAAAUUGGUUCCUGACUUCAGCAGCCAUUUCCCUACUCCUCCCAUGUGCACAGCACUUGUCCUGGCAUUUGGGGUGCGCAUUGAGGGCACAGGAAGAGAACCCCGGGCAGACCGAGUGGAGUUGGGGUGUGAGGACCUGGACUUUGAAAUCAGACAAGGGAGCUUGAAUCCUGCCUCAGCAAUGUCCCAGGAGGUGACCUUGGGCGGGCCCCCUGGCCUGUGUCCUUAUCUGUAAAACGAGGAUCAGAGAGACUUCCUCUUAGCAUUGAUGCUGACAAGUAAGUGAGGUGAGGCCCCGCGGGUGCCUUCAUGCCCUCCUUCAGCAGGUAAGUGUCACCGGUCUAGGCACUUGGAAGAAAACAAAAGCCUGCCCUUGUGGAGCCUGUGUUGGUGGGAGUGGGUGACAGACAACUAAGUUAAGAGCAAGUAAUUAGGCCUAGCCAAUACGAUGAAACCCCGUCUCUACUACAAAUAAAAAAAUUGGCAGGGCGUGGUGGCUCACGCCUAUAAUCCCAACGUUUUGGGAGGCCAAGUGGGCAGAUCACAAGGUCAGUAGUUUGAAACGAACCUGAUUAACAUGGUGAAACCCCGUCUCUACUAAAAAUACAAAAAUUAGUCUGGCAUGGUGGCACACACCUGUAAUCCCAGCUAGUUGGGAGUCUGAUGCAGGAGAAGAGCUUGAACCUGGGAGGUGGAGGUUGCAGUUAGUGGAUAUCGUGCCAUUGCACUCCAGCCUGGGGGACAAAAGUGAGACUUCGUCUCAAAAAAAAAAAGAAAGAGGCCAGGCGCAGUGGCUCACACCUGUAAUCCCAGCCCUUUGGAAGGCCGAGGCGGGCAGAUCAUGAGGUCGAGAGAUCGAGACCAUCCUGGCCAACAUGGUAAAACCCCAUCUUUACUAAAAACACAAAAAAAAUUAUCUGGGCGUGGUGGUGCGUGCCUGUAGUUCCAGCUGCUCAUGAGGCUGAGGCAGGAGAAUUGCUUGAACCAGGGAAGCAGAGGUUGCGGUGAGCCGAGGUCGCGCCACUGCACUCCAGCCUGGCACCUGGUGACGGAGUGAGAUUCUGUCUCAAAACAAACAAACAAACAAACAAACAAUCAAAAAAGAAAGAAAGAAAGAAAUAAAAGCAAGUGAUGAUAAAAUCUGAUGACCGGGAUCAUGGAGAAAAGCAGGUAGGCAGGUGGGUAGAGCGAGUGGCGGACUGCUUUGUACAAAGUGGUCAGGGAAGGGGGCGAUAGGACUUCAGGGGGAGGAGCGUUCCAGAUAGGGGAAUGGCAAGUGCAAAGGCCCUGAGGCAGGAGAUCUUAUUUAGAAGUCACCUGGUAAAGUGGCUGGUACCUAGUACAUGCUCUGUGAUUGUCAGUUUCCUUCCCCCUCCUCUCCGGAGCUGCUGUUAUCUAUAUAAAAAAUUUAUGACCACGUACAAUGUGCUAGGUGCCAGGGACACAGGCAGCUCCUUGCCCCUAAAGCUUCCAUUCUGUUGCUUCUGUUGUGUGUUUUUCUUCUGUUUUUUUUGCAAACCUGGCUACCUCCUAAUAAAUAGCAAAGAAUAGCUCUGUAGCAGUGCUUUAAGAGACUCUUAAAUGACAAAGCCCAGCAGAUUUUUUUAUUUUCAGAUGGAGUCUCGCUCUGUCACUCGGGCUGGUGUGCAGUGGCGUGAUCUUGAUUCACUGCAACCUCCACCUCCUGGGUUCAAACAAUUCCCCUGCCUCAGCCUCCCAAGUAGCUGGGACUACAGGCGAGUGCCACCACACCCAGCUACUUUUUGUAGUUUUAGUAGAGGUGGGUUUCACUGUGUUAGCCAGGAUGGUCUCGAUCUCCUGACCUCGUGAUCCACUUGCCUUGGCCUCCCAAAGUACUGGGAUUAGAGCCACCGUGCCCAGCCUUUAAGACAUUUUUCUUUUUUUCCUGAGAUGGAGUUACCCAGGCUGGAGUGCAGUGGUGCGAUCUCAGCUCACUGCAGCCUCCACCUCCUGGGUUCAAGCAAUUCUCCUGCCUCAGCCUCCCGAGUAGCUGGAAUUACAGGCAUGCACCAACACACCCGGCUAAUAUUUUUUUAAUUUUUAGUAGAGAUGGGGUUCCACCAUAUUGGCCAGACAGAUCUCAUACUCCUGACCUUGUGAUCUGCCCGCCCCGGCCUUCCAAAGUGCUGAGAUUACAGGUGUGAGCCACCAUGCCCUGCCUCCGGCCUUCAGGAUUUUAAAAAACCAAUUCCCAUCAUCCAUAACUGCACUCUAAGGAUCCUAGGAUUUAGAAUACACUAGUGGUCUGAUUCACCUCUGGUUUUGCUGGUGGGGAAGGGGUGAGGAGAAGUGUGUGGUCCAAGGACCCUUGCAACUGUCUCAGCAGCCCACCUGGAAUUCAAACCCAGACUCCUUCCUUUCCCUCAUCCCUGUUCAUGGCUCUGCUGCUUUCAAGCUGCUGUCGGAAAUAGGGUGGAGAGACCCACCAAACUGAUUGUGCUGGGUGAACUCUGUUUGGAGGGAAGCACACGGUCUGGGUUGUCCAGUCCCUGGGUACGUGUAGGAAUGUUUAGGAAUCAGACGAAUCUGGGAGCUUCCCUUUCUGGGCUACGCUGGCUGCAUCCAGCUCAGGUGGGGUCAUUUGAAGAGGGAGGAUCACACUGGGACUUCUGCUGGCUUCUCUGGGUGUCCUGGGCCAGUGCCAGUUUCCUUAGUGGUCCAGAAUAUCUAAAAAUUGGAGCAUACAAUCUGAGCAGACCCAGGCCUGGCUCUCCCCCCUCCCAUGUUGGCUCCCUGUGUGGACUAGUUGACCCUGUUUACCACCACACGCACUGGUGUGAGGUUCCGCAGGGAAGGGGAGCCAUGGAUAUGGAAGGGGCUGUGUGUUCGCCAGGCAGGUUAGCCGCUGUAACAUGCUGCCCUGGCAUCUGGGUGGCUUCGUGCAGCCCAGUUUUUGCAGUCCUUCCGGGCUCCCCUAGGUCCUUUGUUGUGGGAGGGAUGGGGAAAGAGGAGUACCACAGCCAAGCAGUUUGCAGGUCUGGCCGCUCGGUUGGCCAGAACUCAGACAUGCAGCCACACGGUGUGCAGGGGAAGAUUGGGGAACAUGUUUACACAUGCGUCUGGGAGGAAGAGGCGAGCAUGGAAGCGAUGACUACUCACACCCCAGGAUCCUCGGGACACAGCAGCAGGCCUUGAGGUCUCCAGGGUACCAGAGCUGAGCUGCUUCCCUAGAAGAGACCACAUGGCCAUGGUCUCGUCUGGGUCCUGGGUUUGGGGUUGGUGGCAGGUCAACAGAGCUUGCGUGGGGAAUCAGGUAGGGUAAGCUAAUCUGUUGUAAGAGACGGACCGAUAUAUUCCUGGUUACAAUGAUAUUUAUUGUAUACCGACUAUGUGCCAGGCACAGUGCUCAUUUAAUUUCCAGAACAGUCCUGUGGGGUGGGUGUUUAUUCCCGUUUUACAGAUGCUGUAGUGGAAUCUCACGUAAAGAGCACUGGGAGAAAGUGGAGUUUAGUGGCAAAGCCGGGUCUGACCCCUUGUCUGUUGCGUCUGUCAGUGUCCAUGCACCUGUUUGAUACACACGGAACUGAUUCAGCCUCCUGCCGGAGCAUCUCAGGGAGAAAUAAGUGAGCUUAUCAGUUUAGUAUUUGCCAAGGUUGGCAGACGUUCCUUUGUCAUUUUGUCAAAAAAGUUCAGGGAACCGAGGUGGGUAAUUGAAUGCCAACUAUUCCUAAAGGGUAAGCAUUAGGUGUGUAACUUGAAAACCAGAUGUUAUUCGUGCAAAGUGAGUGCUCCGGGGCUCUGUGCUUGCGCAGUGAGCACUCAGGCGUGGUACUUAGAAAGUCAGAUGUACUCUUCCCUCCCAAGGGACUCAUAGUUAAAUGGGGGUAUCACAAAGCGUGUUCCUUAGAGAGGUUUAGGCCAGGCAUGGUGGCUCAAGCCUGUAAUCUCGGCACUUUGGGAGGCCGAGGCGGGUGGAUCAUGAGGUGAAGAGAUCGAGACCAUCCUGGUCAGCAUGGUGAAACUCCGUCUCCACUAAAGAUACAAAAAAUUAGCUGGGCAUGGUGGCGCGUGCCUGUAAUCCCAGCUACUCAGGAGACUGAGACAGGAGAAUAGCCUGAACCCAGGAGGUGGAGGUUGCGGUGAGCUGAGAUCGCGCCGUUGCACUCCAGCCUGGGUAACAAGAGUGAAACUCCGUCUCAAAAAAAAAAAAAAAAAAAAAUAGAGAGGUUUAUGUCUUGUCCUGUGUUUGGAUGGGGGAAGAGAUGCCAUUGUAGGGGUGGGUAGUUUCAGGAAGGACCUCUGUGUAGGAGACAGGCAUCUGGCUGGAAAGGCAGGAAGGAUGCAGAUGGAUUUGGUGGUGGCAGGUCGGAGGUGGGAAUGGACAGAGGGAACUGCGAGCAAAGGGACAGGCCAGAGUGGCCAGGCACAUUCCACGGAGUCUGUGCAGUUUUUAUGUGCAACAUUGGUAGACUGCUCGCCUCCUAGAGCAGUGCUUUAAGAUGCAGAGACACUGAGGACUAGCUGGCCGGCUGGGAGCCCGGGAUGUCACAGAUUGGAAGCCUUAGGAGCACAAGGAUCUCUGAGUCGCCAGGGCCAGGUAGUUAGUCACAGUAGUGACCACGCAGCAGCUAUUUGUGUGUGAUGAGUAUUCCCUGUUGCCAGGGACUGUGCUAUGCAGAUUGUAUCAGUGAUCCCUACAGCCCAGUAAGAUAUUGUUACUCUGUCCAUUUUCCUGAUGGGGACACUGAGGCAUGGCCCCUCAGCUGCUGUUCUUUGGAUGAAUGAAUGGACGGUUUGCCUCGUUGGGAGGUCUGUCCUGUUGGAAGGGGAGAGGGCGCCAUGGAGAGGGAGGAGCAAGUUCAGAUCCCUUCCCCUCCACUUCCUUGUAACCCCGCAGGCCUCUGUCCAUACUGAAGGAGGGUGUGCAGGAGAUAGAGCGCGUGGUGUCUCCAACACAUGGCCUGGCCGUAGUGUACACAGCCUUUCUCGGUAUGGACACAGGCCCUAAGAAUCCUAGCCCACUCUGUGGCCUGUGAAGAGUGAUGGUAAUGUGGGCUGGCUACUGGACUCAGCCCGGUGAGCUCCUGGUGGGCCUUCCACCAGAGGCCCCUGGUACUCCGCAUUCCAGACCUGAGGUUUCUGAGCUGUGGCUCACAGGGGCCCUUUCUUGAACUUUCCCUUCAGGGAGGCCUGGUUGGAAGGCCCAGUCUGGGCCUGUGCUGUCUGGAAGUUGGUCCCAUCAGGCUGAGCCCACGGCCAGGGGCACAAUUGGGCACCUUCUAGGUAACGCGGAUGUGGUGCUCUGCCUGGUGUCUGCAGCGGGAUCUCAGCUGGUGGGUUACUGGGACAGGGCUGCCCGCUGGAGAGGGGAACAAUGUCUUGUUGACAUCUGUUUGUUGCUCUGGUUGGUUCACGUUUCAUGACCCUGUGACUGAGGCUUGCUUCAGCGUGGGAAAAUGGAAGAGCUCGAACUGCCCCAGAAAGCUGGUGGUGACUGAGGUGGCGACUGAGCUCGGGGAGUCCUGGCAGGGCCAGACACAGCCCAGAGCCAGAUGAUAUUGAUGUCCAAGGUGGAGUGGAAGGGACCGCAGAGUAACUGUGACUGUUCCCUCCAGUUGUUGUCGGACCCUUAGACCUGUGUUUCAUCCUCUCAUCAGCUCUGUGAGGAGGGAGCAGGAAACGGAGACCUUGAGAGUUUAAGGUUACACAACUGGAACCCGGGCAGCCUAGCUCCGGGCCGACCUCCAGACGUCACGAUGACUCCUUGGUGGGGUUUGAGCAAGGAUAGUGCACACUUGCAUGGUGCCUGUUGUGUGCCAGGCACUACUCUGAGCCUUCGUGCAGGUGAGCACUCACCCAGUCCUCACGAUGCCUCUGGGAGGUGGUGCUGUCGUUGUCCCCAUUUUACAGAUGAGCAAACUGAGGCCCAGAGAGGGGAGGUCUCUACUUACCCAGCUUGUAAUAAUAAUGGUGGAGCUAAGAUUUGACCCCAGGCUGUCUGGCUCCUGAGUAUCACUGCAUGUGGCUGGUAAGCAGGGUUUCGGGGCUCCAAAGCAGAAUGUUAGAAAGGCCCAAAGUGGCCAGGUUGGCUCUGAGCGGAGAGAAGGGCCUUGCAGAAGAGAGCGUGUGGACAGAGCAGCCACCCUGACUGGACUGGGGCCCCUUCCUGGAGCUUCCUGGGCCAGCUUCCUACAGACCUGUCUCUGCAGGAGCCACGGCAGAAGAUCGCUUCUCACCUGCCCUCGUUGGACUGGGGUAGUCACCUCAGCCUCCUUGCCUGAGACUACUUGACCCUGCAGGGCGCUCUGUCUCAGCCUGCGGUGAGGACAUGACCACAGCAAGCAUGAAUUCCAAAGUCCACCUUGGAGCGAGCCGCCCACCCUGCCUGGCUUCUGGCCCCGGCUCUCCGGGGCCUCUGACCUUUGGCACACACCUUUUCUUUCUGCUUGGACCACCCCCCCGGCCCCGCCACAGUCAGUGGUUUUUCAGGGCCCCCUUCCCCAGUCGGAGCCAGGGUUUGCUCCCCUGUGGCACGGUACCACCCCAGCUGGUCAGCCAGGGUGCCUUUGCCUCUCUGCCUUCUCCACUCACAUUCACCUCCCCUCUCUUGUAAAAGCAAAACUGAAGCCAUCAUACAGGGAUGAUGACAAUCUUCGAAAAUUAAGAAGGAAACCAAUCCUCCCAGAAUCCCACCACCUGGAAGUCAGCCAUAUUAACAUUGAGGGGUGGAGCCCUCGACCCUUUCUCCUAAAUGAGUGCUGGUGACAAUAGGUACCCAGGGAGCAGGAGGAAUGUUUCUUCUCGGUUGGCCUCCAUCAACCAGGUGCCGACCCACACUUCUGACAACCCACAUCAUGUCUCGAGAAGGCUCUGCCACAUGUCCUGAGAAGGCUCUGCCACAUGUCCCUGGAGACCACACUGCCCCUGGGUAAGAACUGCAGUGUUUAUUCAUUUAAUCAUCACACCUACCUGUGAGGUCCCAUUUUCUGAGCAGGCAGGGGCCGCCCGGGCUGGCACAUGACAGAGCUGGGAAUCCCUGCACCGUCUUACAGUUACGUUGUUUCUUCAGAACUGGCCCAGAGGAGGGAUGAAAAAUGGUGCCGGGGGCUUUAGGAGCCCUUUCCCCGUGUCUGGCACGGUGUGGGGCCAGGAGCUGGUGGACCACGGUACCCCAGGGCCCCAGAAGGAAAUCCCGGCUGGCUCAGGCGUUGGCAAGCUCCCCUCUACCUUUGAUCCCUCCCAACUGACUUCCCUCUCACUGUCCCUGCCUUCGUCCUGAUGACUCAGGACUUCAGAGAUCUGGUUGUUGAAAAGGAGAAUUACAUCAUGCCAAUGAGAGAGAGAGAGAUUAGCAUUAGAAAGUUUUGGUGUAAGGUAAAAUGACUUCAGAACCUUCUUGCACCCUGUCUGAAUUGAAACAGGUUUCUAGGAAGAUUAGGGAGUAGGGAGGAAAGGGGGUCGACCCUCUUCUAAAAGGGGCUUCUUCGUCUGCUUGACCCAAGCCCCACCCACAGCUGGGCAGUGGGUCCCUCUGCUUUUUGUAGGUGAUUGAACCCCAUCCCCUGAAAGCUAUAAAAGAAGGUUCUGGAGUUGCAUGCAAGUUCUGCCCGCAAGCUUGGGGAAGGGAUAGGGGUCAGGGAGCAUUGCAAAGAUGAACAGUUGGAGGUUCUUCUGAAGCCCAGCGGUAAGCAGGGCACCCUCUCUAGGCCAGCACAGCCCUGGCUGUGGACACGGCUAGGCGAGGGGAUCCCAGCUGUUCUUAUCCCCGCUGGGCUGCGGUGGGUGCUUCUACCUAGGGCCAGCCCUGCUCAGCCAUUCUGGGAAGCCUUACUUGGAGGGGUCUUCCCUGAGGAUUGGGGAGGAGGAACCCCCCUGCCUCCACAUUGAAACCCGACCACCAUUUCCCCGUUAUGCCCUCAGGGAGGUGGAGGCAUUAAAGCCGCUGCCUGCCCAGCUCAGUUCUUCCCUAAAACAGGACACUGAUCAGACAAGGUGAUUAGGAGGGCUGGCCAGGCUUUUUUGAUCCAGACAUUUGAUAUGAGCCCAUUUGACCAGUGGUGUGGUCCACCUCUGUUUCCUCAUCUGAAAGCUGGGGGUGUAAGAGUAGCCACACUCCAGGUUGCCCGGAGAAGAAAGGAGAGAAUACACGCAGGCACUUAGUGGAGUGUGGACAUGCAGUAUGUGCUCAGCACAUGUUUCGGCCAUCACCAUCAUCAUCAUCACCACCCCACCAUCACUCUCACCACCACCGUCACCAUCACUACCAUCACUGUCACCCUCACCACCACCAUCAUCACCAUCGCUAUUGUGGCUGCUGCUUCUCGGUAUUGGGUUUGCCCACCUAUAUACUUGCCUGGUUCCUGCAGGACUAUGAACUUGAAGGCAGGGCUUGGGUCCAUUUCUCUAGGAAUACCCGAUGCUAAUAAAAGCCUUUGAGUGUCUGUUGAUGCAUGGUGGGGGAUCUUGACACCCCAGGCUGUGAAGGGACAGGAAAGUUACAGUUUUUUUGGAAACCUUCUGGUGACUUUGGAGUCAAGGGAAGCUCCUCCCAGGUGUGCCUGUGACCCUGCACUGUGACCCCAGGCAUCAUUAUUUGGAAUGCGCCCUCAGCUACCAAGUUGUCAACCCAAACAAGAUAGAACCCGCCUUUGGGAGGAUUAAGAUAUUAUUGGUGGUUUUCACCUCAGCUUUCAGCAGCAGUGCUUGGGAAAUAAGAUUUUGAUCUCGGAAAAUAUGAUUUAAAAACAGAAUUGAAAGUCGCUUUUAUUUUCUAAACGAUAUUGCCCCUGACGCCUCUAACGGGUGGCCUCUGGUCUGAGCACACUCGUGGGGGAAACUGUGUAGCAGGUCCAGGGCUGUGCUCUCUGGAUUUUAGAGACCUCCACCUUGAGCAGGCUUCGCCUUUGAUCCCCCACUCAGGUCUGCAGUGAUGGAGCACCUGCUUCAGACCAAGCCCGGGAGUCUGCCGUCUCUGUGGGGACAGCUCACUGUGUGGUCUCAGCCUUGCUAACUCUUAGGAGGUUGCCCUGUUGGCUGCCAGCUGGAGGGGUCUUCUUCCUCUGAGCCCUGCUGAGCCCACCUUUCAAUGCCGAACACCAAACCCAUGGACCACGUGGCUUUGGCCACGUCCCAGUGUCCCCUCCAGUGGGGAAGGGCAGUUCGUUUCCUUCCUGUUGUGUGAGGACUAGAGGCACUGAGUAUCCACAAGGCCACACUGUGGAGCCUUUGAGAGAUUGCACCAUUUUGCAUCUGCUGUCUGUGUCCUCCCAGGACCCUGGCUGAUACACCAGGAGCUUGAGGAGAUGGAGUGGAGUUCAGGGAGUUCAGAGCAGCGAAACGGGCAUCAUGCUGAACUGAGAGAAGCGAAAGAAUCUCUUGGACUUGGACUCUGUUCUGAAAAUUUUCCCCCUGCGAAGAAAAAUGCUGGUGGUGAUGAUGAUGAUGAUGGUAGUGGCCAUUUCUUUGCCUACUCACUGUGGGCUUGCUGUCAAGAACUCUGAUGCCCUGUUGUGUGUGGUCAUUCUGACAAUCCUGUGAGGUUUUUCAAUGAUGAAGGAAACAGGCUUAGAGAGUCGAUGUGGUUUGUGAAGGCUCAGGGUGGGCAAGCGGUCCCACCCAGGCUUGAACCCAGAUGCAGCCGCCUGCGAGGUUACCAUGCUUCCUGCUGAGGUGUUUUGUAACCAAGGCCAAGCUGGACAAAACCCACGGUUUUGUGACUUCUGGCUUGGGUUGGGUGUCUUGUUGAGUAUGUGGGCAGUGGAUCUGAUGUUUUCUGCUUCCUACCGUGUGGCAGGGCUGUGUGCAUGGAGCAUGAGGGGCUGGCUGGGCAGACAGGACUGAUUUGGCUGAAUUCAGCCAUGGCCCAUGUCGGAAACUGUUAGUUUAUUUUUCCUUCUCUGUUUGCCCUCCCCACCCCUCUUUUUUUUUUGAGACAAAGUCUCACUCUGUCACCAGGCUGGAGUGCAGUGGUGCGAUCUCUGCUCACUGCAAUCUCUGUCACCUGGGUUCAAGGGAGUCUCCUGCCUCAGCCUCCUGAGUAGCUGGGACUAUAGGCGCACCCCACCACGCCUGGCUGAUUUUUGUAUUUUUAGUAGAGAUGGGCUUUCACAAUGUUGGCCAAGAUGGUCUUGAUCUCUUGACCUAGUGAUCUGCCCACCUUGACCUCCCAAAGUGCUGGGAUUACAAGUGUGAGCCACUGUGCCCAGCCCUUUUUAAGAAAUGUUUAUAAUUACAAUCAGAGCUAGCCAUAGUUGGAAGGGAACUUGCAGGUCGUCUAGUUCUGGGAUGGCAAAGACACGGCACAGGUGUUACCACUCUUCAUGGCCUUGACUGUGGUAGACAUUGCUAAUCAACCCUGGUGUAAUCAGUCUUCCAAGUGAGCUCAGAGACAGACACUAUUAAUCAAUUGUUAUUGGCAUGCAGCAGGAAUCCUGCUUGCCGUUCUUGAUGUAGUCCAGCUUCUCUUACUAAGAACAUAAAGCCCAGAGUCGUUAAAUAACCCUCAAGGGAGCCAGUGGGAUUUUGGAGCCUUCUCCACACCAGAGUGUUUGCUCUUAAGGGAUGACUUUGGGUUAAAAGUCUGAUGUCUAAACAAAAUGUGGUAUAGAGGAAGACACCUGGAUUUGCAAAGCAGUGCCUGGAUCUGGGUUCAGAUCCCAGCGAUGCUUCUUAUUGCUUGUAACUCUGGGUAGAUCACAUGACUUCUCUGACCCUUGUCUUGGAAACUGAAAUUACAAUCCCUGCAUCCCAGGAUUGUGAGAAUUAAUGAUGUGUUGAAUGUACUGGGCACUGAUCUAGGCAUUGCAUGUUGCGGUGAGCUGUGUAUGAGGUCCCUGCUCUCAGGGAGCUGGCUGCCCUCAUAAAGAGGAGGCUAGUUUUCUUCCUCUUUCCUCCUUGGAAAUUCACGGACCUGUAUUGUCAUCGUUAUCUUUUAACUUCUAUUGUGUCCACUUAAAUUUUGGUCCAUUUAUACAUCACAUGACUUGCUUUGGGAAGUGAUUUAUUUUUUUUUUCAUUCCUGGUCUCAUUUCCAUUCUUAUAUCUGGGCAGGUGGUUAGUGAGUCUUUGUCAGUCACAAAAAAUCAAAAUGACAGGCUCUUCCCUUCUGAAUGGAUGCUCUGGGGUACUGGAUCUAGACUUGGGAGUGACAUACUAUCUUUGAAAACCUUCUGAAAGCUAUGAAUCCUUCUGCUGGCAAAAUGGUAAGACAGCAGGGCUUAUAAAACUUAGCAACUAUAUGUUUUUUAGCUUCCGUAAUGUAGGCAUUCUUAGGGAUUCAUGGACACCCCCCUCCCUAGGGUAAUAAACCAGGCUAGGGGGUCAGUGACGCUUCCCCAGCCGGAAAUGGAGCUUUGCGUGGAAAUAAACAUAUAAGUGAUAAAACCAAGUUUCAUUAAGUAGAAGGAUCAAGGUUUUUAUUCAGAGUUCUGCUCCUUUGGCCAGGGCAGUGUGAGGCUUUUCUCUGUAGCGUUUUCUGCACUUGCUCGAGCUGUGUUUAGUCUUCUUGGUUAUGGUGAAAUAUUUUUUCUUUUAUCCCAGUCUGGAGUUUCAAGGUUGGUACUUCUUGCCCCUAAAAUGUUUGUUUCAAGAUUUAAAGCAGUUCUUCACUCUUUGAUAAGGUGGAACGCAUCACUGGAGACACGUUGUGGUCAAGUCCGAGGGCUGUUCUGGCGGAAUCAGGCAGAUGGUGGCUCACUGCUCAGCUCUGGCUCUCAGUGUGACCUUGAGCUGCCUCACCUCCCUGACCUGUAAAUCGGAGGGACAGAGUGACCACAGACCCUUGAUGAGCAACGAUUAAAGAAUACUGAGCAUGAGAAAAUAUGCCCAAAGAGUUUCCACAAAGGCCAAGGCAGGCUUGGCAUUUGAAUGCCUGGAAUUUGGGAAGUAUGGAUCUUCUAUUGAGUCUGUAUCAUGGAGGCUACCUGGCAAAUUCAGCUGAUGUGAGCGGAGCAGUGGACAAUGAGUGCAGGUCUAAUGGGCUCCUUCCUUCUGGAUACCAGGGAUUUUACCUUCACUAAGGGUAAGCAAGCACCUCUGAGAGAAGCUGAGGGUCUUCCUUGGUUGCUAACAUUUAAAGGACCCCAAUCAACGAGUUUCCUCAUUGUCUUUGAUUCUAGCUGGUCCCCAUCUUUAGCCACACCCUGGAGCAAAACGUCACUUAAGUGACUCGAGAGGGAGAGAGUUCCAUGGGCCAUUUCAGAUUUAGACAUGGAAUUUUUCUGGGAUAAUUUCUCUGCCACUGCAUUUUGCAUUUGCAUGUUCUAAAGCCAAAAAAAGGAGUUGAACUUUCCCUUUUGUUUGCUUCAUUACUCCCACUAUGUUUGGCGGGAUGGCGGUUGUGGUUUUAUUCUCAGAUUCGUUUUUAUAAGUGUGCUGUGCGUGUGGAGUCCUCUCUCCUCCCUGAGGAUUUUGUAGGAUGAUUCAAGCCGGCUGUCUCCCCAGCUGGGUACCAAUUGCCAGGGCCAGACCUGGUGAAAUAAUGAAACCUGCUAAUUCUCAGGCACCUGUGAUGUGCCAGGCACUUAUUCAACCCCCUGGGUAGGCAGCGUCCCUGUGUUUCAGGAGAGGGGACAGGCUCCCCAGGCCCUUGGCCUCCAGGGUCACAUGGCUGUGGGUCGUGGAGCUAUGAUGCACGCCAAGAUCAGGCAGACUCGAGCUCAUGUGCCUUCUCGUAGGCUCCACCGCUCCUCCUGGGACCUCAGGGGACUUCCCAGGGGUCCUGUAUGUACCUACCUUCAUAUGGCUCCAUCUAAGGAAAAAUGAAGUAGGUGUUGGUUGGACAGCAAGGCAGGCCUUGGAGAGUUCUCCUUCAUUUCUCCUGCCCAUCAGCCUCCUUGCCAAGCUUGGGUGCAGCCAGGAUUUUCCUACUCCCUUGAGUUACCUGUCUGGGGUGGCCUUUUCUAGAUAGACAGCUCAGAGAGGAAGUUAGGGCUCCAUCCACCUCACCUCUGUGACCUUCUGAGGGAGCCACGGUGGGUGUGUUUACAGUAGCUUUGUCAUUGGUCUCCCCGUUUCACAGGUGAGAAAAGGAAGCUCCCCAGAGAAGUGGCCUGGGCAGUGAGAGGUGGCCAGUUGAGCCAUAGCUCUUCCUAAUGGGGGCUUGCUGCCCCUUUACCUGGGGGUGGGCGUCACUUGCCAGCACCUUCCUAGAAUUAGCUCUGAGACUGAAGAGAGAAAAGGUGAGAUCUGGUCACAGGCUCCACAUCUGGCCUGAUGGGGCUGAUGCCUUGAUUUCACAUUUGGGGAAACUGAGGCCCAGGAAGAGAGACUGCUCCAGUCACUAUCCCUACCCUGGUUCAGCACCCUGUUUUCUCACUUUGUCUACUUGAUGGUGUGACCAGGUAAAUCUUGAUCAGGAAAUGAGGGAAGGUCUCAUUCAUUCAUUCAUUCAUUCAUUUUGUCAGUUGAAGUUCUAAGGUUAAAAAAUAAAUUUUUUAUUGUGGUAAAAUAAACAUAACACAAUAUUUAUCAUUUUGACCAUUUGUAAGUGUACAAUUCAACAGCGUUCAAUACAUUCUCAAUCACCGCUGUCUAUACCCAGAACCUUUUCUUUCUUUUUCUGAGACAGAGUUUUGCUCUUGUUACCCAGGCUGGAGUGCAAUGGCGCGAUCUCGGCUCACCGCAACCUCUGCCUCCUGGGUUCAGGCAAUUCUCCUGCCUCAGCCUCCCGAGUGGCUGGGAUUACAGCCACGCGCCACCAUGCCCAACUAAUUUGUUGUAUUUUUAGUAGAGACAGGGUUUCACCAUGUUGACCAGGAUGGUCUCGAUCUGUUGACCUUGUGAUCCACCCGCCUUGGCCUCCCAAAGUGCUGGGAUUACAGGCUUGAGCCACCGCGCCCGGCCAACCUUUUCAUCAUCCCUAACGUGAACUCUGUACUCAUUAAACAUUACCCAUUCUCUCCUGGUCCCAGCCCCUGGUCACUGCUAUUCUACUUGCUGUUUCAAUGAGUUUGCCUAUUGAAGUACCUGAGCUAAGUGGAAUCAUCCAGCAUUUGUACUUCUGUGUCUGGCUAAUGUCACUUAGUAUGAGGUUUUUACGUUCCACCCAUC